rnacentral:other from 1 species
UAAAUCCUGAUGUGUUCGUCAGUUAAUUGAAGUUUUGACCGAACAUCAAUUACAUUGGGAGCUUGGAGUUUCUAAGUGGAGUGCAAGCCUCUUUACUUACAGUGUUAUAGAGGACGCAUAAAGCUUAGGGCAGAGCACCCACCUGCUAGGAGCGGGAUCAAAACAUCAUCACCACGACGGCACGAUUGGGAUUUAA